rnacentral:rRNA from 1 species
CCCUACGGGGCGCAGCAGUGGGGAAUAUUGGGCAAUGGGGGAAACCCUGACCCAGCAACGCCGCGUGAGGGAAGAAGGUUUUCGGAUCGUAAACCUCUGUCCUUGGUGAAGAGUAGAAGACGGUACCUCUUGAAUAAGCCACGGCUAACUACGUGCCAGCAGCCGCGGUAAUACGUAGGUGGCAAGCGUUGUCCGGAUUUACUGGGUGUAAAGGGCGUGUAGCCGGGUUGACAAGUCAGAUGUGAAAUCCUGCGGCUUAACCGCAGAACUGCAUUUGAAACUGUUGAUCUUGAGUACUGGAGAGG